GUACUUGCUUCAGCAGUACAUAUACUAAAAUUGAUAAUACAGAAAUUAGCAUGGCCCCUGCACAAGGAUGACACGCAAAAUCGUGAAGCGUUCCACAUUUUU